UGCAUGGUGGUGCAGUUGGUAGCAUGGUUGCCUUGCAACCAGAAGGUCCUGGGUUCAACGCCCAGCUGGGGAU